CCACACUGUAAACGAUGAUAACUAGGUGUGGGGGGUCUGACCCCUUCCGUGCCGCAGCAAACGCAAUAAGUUAUCCACCUGGGGAGUACGACCGCAAGGUUGAAACUCAAAGGAAUUGACGGGGACCCGCACAAGCAGUGGAUUAUGUGGUUUAAUUCGAAGCAACGCGAAGAACCUUACCAGCACUUGACAUCCGACUAACGAAGUAGAGAUACAUUAGGUGCCCUUCGGGGAAAGUCGAGACAGGUGGUGCAUGGUUGU
rnacentral:rRNA from 1 species